UACAGAGGGGGCUAGCGUUAUUCGGAAUUAUUGGGCGUAAAGGGCGCGUAGGCGGCCAUGCGUGUCUUCCGUGAAAUCCCUCGGCUUAACUGAGGACGUGCGGAAGAAACUGCAAGGCUCGAGUCCGGGAGAGGGGGGUGGAAUUCCCAGUGUAGCGGUGGAAUGCGCAGAUAUCAGGAGGAACACCGGUGGCGAAGGCGGGUCUCUGGGCCGUAACUGACGCUGAGGAGCGAAAGCGUGGGGAGCGAACAGG
rnacentral:rRNA from 1 species